AACAGAAGUGUCAUUAACUCGCAGAUGACAUGAGCUGAUUAACUGGCCAUACCUGCCCCUCUUUGCUGCUACGAGCUCAGCUCAGGCCCUUGGUGCUGGGACCGACGGGGAGCAGGAACCGAGCUGGGGUGCUGGAGGCCGACUUCAGUGUCCUUGCUGGGACUCCAGCGGCUUUGGCUGUGCAUCUGAAUGCCGCAGGGUUGCCAUUAAGGACAAGAUUCGAAUCACAUGAUUGAACUAAUAUUACUGAGAAUGAUGCAACCAGAAUAGCUAUUCAAGCCUCAUGGCCUUAAAUGAUUUAUGCAGAGCCCACCUCCAUCCCUCCCCCUGCGUUUCCCCAUCAGUGCUGACAUUUCUUCGUGAAUAUUUAAGAUCUAAGAACAAACAACAGCAAUGGAGGGAUUCACAGACUCAAGAGUCUGUAACCUGAAUCUGGUUUCCCCAGAUUUCCAGGUAUCCAGAAUAAGAAGAUAAUGUGACAGUCUCGUAAUUGUGCCUAACAUUGGAUCUGUGUGUUGAUAGCA